AAAUACGUUCACCACGACAGUGUUCAGCCAUAGGAGCCACCAAGCCUCCGCGGCUGCUGAAAAGGGAAUCCCGUGAAAAUCGGGAACGGACCCACCGCUGUAACCGGGGACAACAAUCGCAUAACGCCACUGAAGAAUGACUUCGGGAAGGCGCGAUUGGAGGAUGAUCCGGAAGUCAGAAGACCUGCUAUCGUGGUUUAAUGUCA
rnacentral:ncRNA from 2 species